GACGGAGGGUGCUAGCGUUGUUCGGAAUUACUGGGCGUAAAGGGCGCGUAGGCGGUCUCGUCAGUCGGGUGUGAAAGCCCGGGGCUCAACCCCGGAACGGCACCCGAGACGGCGGGACUGGAGACCGGGAGAGGAGGGUGGAAUAGCCAGUGUAGAGGUGAAAUUCGUAGAUAUUGGCUGGAACACCGGUGGCGAAAGCGGCUCUCUGGCCCGGUUCUGACGCUGAGGCGCGAAAGCGUGGGGAGCGAACAGG
rnacentral:rRNA from 1 species